rnacentral:rRNA from 1 species
GACGAGGGGUCCUAGCGUUGUUCGGAAUCACUGGGCGUAAAGCGUUUGUAGGCGGCUCUAUAAGUCGGGUGUGAAAUCCCACGGCUCAACCCGUGGAAGUGCAUUCGAAAACUGCAGAGCUUGAAUAUGGUAGAGGACAGUAGAAUUGCUGGUGUAGUGGUGAAAAUACGUAGAUAUCAGCAGGAAUACCGGGUGGCGAAGGCGAACUGUCCUGGGACCCAAAUA